UACGUAGGUCGCAAGCGUUGUCCGGAUUUACUGGGCGUAAAGAGCGCGCAGGCGGCUGGUCAAGUCCGAUGUGAAAUCUCCCGGCUCAACUGGGAAACUGCAUCGGAAACUGAUCGGCUUGAAGAUGGGAGAGGGUAGUGGAAUUCCCGGUGUAGUGGUGAAAUGCGUAGAUAUCGGGAGGAACACCAGUGGCGAAGGCGACUAUCUGGCCCAUUCUUGACGCUGAGGCGCGAAAGCUAGGGGAGCGAACGGG
rnacentral:rRNA from 1 species